rnacentral:rRNA from 1 species
GACGAACGCCGGCGGCGUGCUUAACACAUGCAAGUCAACUUGACUGAAGGAGCAAUCUGACAGUAGAGUGGCGCAAGGGUGCGUAACGCGUAAGUAACUUGCCCAAGGUAAGGAAUAACGUCGAGAAAUCGGCGCUAAUACCUCAUAAUGCAGCGGAUCCGCAUGGAUAUGUUGUUAAAGGUUUACCGCCUUGGGAUAGGCUUGCGUCUGAUUAGUUAGUUGGUGUGGUAACGGCACACCAAGGCUACGAUCAGUAACUGGUCUGAGAGGAUGAUCAGUCACACUGGAACUGAGACACGGUCCAGACUCCUACGGGAGGCAGCAGUGAGGAAUAUUGGGCAAUGCUCGAAAGAGUGACCCAGCAACGCCGCGUGGAGGAUGAAGGUAUUCUAUAUCGUAAACUCCUGUGAGAGCAGACGAAAGACAGAUUAUUAAUCUGGAUGACUGUAUGCUCAGAGGAAGCCCCGGCUAACUACGU